rnacentral:rRNA from 1 species
UCGGAUCGCGGCGACGCGGGCGGUCCGCUGCCUGCGACCUCGCGAGAAGUCCACUGAACCUUAUCAUUUAGAGGAAGGAGAAGUCGUAACAAGGUUUCCGUAGGUGAACCUGCGGAAGGAUCAUUG